UACGUAGGGUGCGAGCGUUUAAUCGGAAUUACUGGGCGUAAAGCGUGCGCAGGCGGUUCUCCAAGUCCGUUGUGAAAGCCCCGGGCUCAACCUGGGAAUGGCAGUGGAAACUAGGGGACUGGAAUCUGGCAGAGGGGGGUGGAAUGCCGCGUGUAGCAGUGAAAUGCGUAGAGAUGCGGCGGAACACCGAUGGCGAAGGCAGCCCCCUGGGCUGAGAUUGACGCUCAGGCACGAAAGCGUGGGGAGCAAACAGG
rnacentral:rRNA from 1 species